GACGAACGCUGGCGGCGUGCUUAACACAUGCAAGUCGAACGGAAAGGCCCUGCUUUUGUGGGGUGCUCGAGUGGCGAACGGGUGAGUAACACGUGAGUAACCUGCCCUUGACUUUGGGAUAACUUCAGGAAACUGGGGCUAAUACCGGAUAGGAGCUCCUGCUGCAUGGUGGGGGUUGGAAAGUUUCGGCGGUUGGGGAUGGACUCGCGGCUUAUCAGCUUGUUGGUGGGGUAGUGGCUUACCAAGGCUUUGACGGGUAGCCGGCCUGAGAGGGUGACCGGCCACAUUGGGACUGAGAUACGGCCCAGACUCCUACGGGAGGCAGCAGUGGGGAAUAUUGCACAAUGGGCGGAAGCCUGAUGCAACAACGCCGCGUGCGGGAUGACGGCCUUCGGGUUGUAAACCGCUUUCGCCUGUGACGAAGCGUGAGUGACGGUAAUGGGUAAAGAAGCACCGGCUAACUACGUGCCAGCAGCCGCGGUGAUACGUAGGGUGCGAGCGUUGUCCGGAUUUAUUGGGCGUAAAGGGCUCGUAGGUGGUUGAUCGCGUCGGAAGUGUAAUCUUGGGGCUUAACCCUGAGCGUGCUUUCGAUACGGGUUGACUUGAGGAAGGUAGGGGAGAAUGGAAUUCCUGGUGGAGCGGUGGAAUGCGCAGAUAUCAGGAGGAACACCAGUGGCGAAGGCGGUUCUCUGGGCCUUUCCUGACGCUGAGGAGCGAAAGCGUGGAGAGCGAACAGGCUUAGAUACCCUGGUAGUCCACGCUGUAAACGGUGGGUACUAGGUGUGGGGUCCAUUCCACGGGUUCCGUGCCGUAGCUAACGCUUUAAGUACCCCGCCUGGGGAGUACGGCCGCAAGGCUAAAACUCAAAGGAAUUGACGGGGCCCCGCACAAGCGGCGGAGCAUGCGGAUUAAUUCGAUGCAACGCGUAGAACCUUACCUGGGUUUGACAUGGAUCGGGAGUGCUCAGAGAUGGGUGUGCCUCUUUUGGGGUCGGUUCACAGGUGGUGCAUGCCUGUCGUCAGCUCGUGUCGUGAGAUGUUGGGUUAAGUCCCGCAACGAGCGCAACCCUUGUUCACUGUUGCCAGCACGUUAUGGUGGGGACUCAGUGGAGACCGCCGGGGUCAACUCGGAGGAAGGUGGGGAUGACGUCAAGUCAUCAUGCCCCUUAUGUCCAGGGCUUCACGCAUGCUACAAUGGCUGGUACAGAGAGUGGCGAGCCUGCGAGGGUGAGCGAAUCUCGGAAAGCCGGUCUCAGUUCGGAUUGGGGUCUGCAACUCGACCUCAUGAAGUCGGAGUCGCUAGUAAUCGCAGAUCAGCAACGCUGCGGUGAAUACGUUCCCGGG
rnacentral:rRNA from 1 species